rnacentral:lncRNA from 1 species
UAACUCGAAAUCACUCCUACAAGGUAUAAAACACACAAUAAGUGUAAAAACACUACCAAUUAAAGCUCAACACAAGUAAAGUGCAGUGAAUUAGAGUGUAAUAAGCAACUAAAAUACGGGAUUAUAGCCUACCAUCAUAAUACCAGGCAAGUUGAUUGUAGUGUAUACAUCCAGUGCUUACAUGAGGAACAUGUCCGCUUUCGAAGUAACGGAACGCCUCUCUGCGCGUGGAAGUAGAACCUUGUUCACCAUCUCAAACAUAAGCUGAUACUCUGGAAUGAGUGCCUUCUUGUUCCCCCGCUCCCUUCUCUGAAUAGCCUGAGCUUUUAGAAUGAUCUUUCUAAAGUUAGGGGAAUAGGUCCCUUCAAUAGAUGAGAGCCCAUCAGUGGGCACAUCCAAGAUACUUUCUACAAUAACUUCAUCCAUCACAAAAUCCACUGAAUUAACCUUCAAGAAGAUAUUGUCGUCUUUCAUAGUAAACAGAUCUGCAUAGAAACUGUGAACCUUAUCUUCAUAAACCUUGGGACUCUGAAUGGUAAACAGAUGAGUCCACUUAUGAAACUCACAGAUUGCAAACAGUUGUCUCAUGCCUGACAUUUCAAUAAUGUUAGCGUCAAACGUUCUGCCCCAUAGCACCCUUUGCUUCUUCAAAUUUUCUCUUCUCUCAACUUCAAACACUUAUACUUUGGCUUUCUUGGAGGAACCAUGUUCCGCGUUGUCACUUGCCUUCCUCUUCUUAAACUUCUUCACACUUUUCUCCUUAUUUUUAGACUUGCUUUUCUCACCAGACUCCUUUUCUUCGACAAUCUUCUCUUUAUCAAUCUCCACCCCUUUCACAGACGAUCCUCUCUUAGGCUUUGCAAGCACAGAAUUCUUAGAGGAUUUACGAAUCAAGUAAGCAGGUUCCUCAUUCACCUCUUCAUUUUCAACAUUCACAAUGUUUUCUAGAGGCACAUCCUCUUCAUUUACUAACUCUCCCCCUUUCACCAACCUUCUUUUUUCUUUUUCUCUUUGUUUCUCUUUAAAGCACUCUCAAGAGAUUCUUUCUUCUGCUGCCUAGUAGUGGGUCUUUUAAGAACGGGCUCUUUGAGAACUGCCCUACCACUUCUAGCAGCAAUAAAACUUGCCACAGUCACAUCAUCAUAGUCCUCAUCACUGUAAUCAUUCUUUUCUUCAGACAAAGGUCUCAUCUCAGGAAUUACAAAGUCUAAUGGCACUGCGUAAAAGUGAGGAGAAGGAAAAGGGUCAGUAUUGUCCAGAGGCUCUUUUUUAGAGCAUAAGGUUUCAUCCCAAGUAGGAGCAGAGUGCUCUUCUGGGACAGAGAGAGCAGGUCCCUCUGGUGCUCCCAUGUAGUACUAAUUGGCACCAAGUUACCAUGAGGCACCAGUUCCCCAAUUCCAACUCCAUUUCCUUCUCCUUCCCUUUGAGACCCAGCGGUCAAAUCACCACACUCAUACUCCCCAACCAACCCUCCUUUGGUAGCAAUAAGUAGCAUAGUUUCUACAGCUUCCCUCUCACUCACACCCAAUAGUGUAGAAUCAGCAUAUACAAGAGAGGCAUUACCUGAUGGAGAGGCAACAUUCAGAUCAAACGUCGGAGCAAGAUGAGUGAUAUGCACUUUUGAUGUUUCACUACUACCUGCAACAUCCUCUUGGGCUACAAUGACCUCCCCAACUUGCUGACUUGAAACCUCUGGUCCCUCUUCUCCGUCUAUUAUUUUGUCUUUUGCCAUUUUUCCCGACGAAGCAGAGGGAGAAGUUGAGGGUGACAAACCAUUUGGGUGUUUGAUUUUUCCAGCUACUGUAAGGCCUCGUGAAUAUUUAGACAUUAUAUACGCCGAUUACUACCCUAAUGGCAUGAAUGAGAUAUGUUUAUUAUCAUGAUCGUAGUAUGUGGUAUUUGUCCAAGGGUAUAUCACCGAAUAGUAAAUUUUAGAUCAAUGUCCAUGGAGAGUAUAUGUGGCAAAUUUAAUGAAUAUGAUUAGACUUACAUUAUAUUAAAAAGAAGAAUGAAAGUCAUAUUUCCCUAAGUUCCAUUGGCAGCAAAUUUAAUCAUCUGUUGGUUGCCUUUCUAAAAUAGUUUAUGGCCACUUUUACUAAGAUGUGAAUUUAUGUAAUAACUACUUGGGCCACUAGCUAAGGGAUCAAAUUAAAGAGAAUGACAUAUGUUAAUAAACUCCUUGGUCCAAACCCAUGGGUCACGUGACUAGCAACCCCAAUAAGUGUAGGCAAUUGAAAAAAGGGAGAAAAGAAAGAAACCUUUUUCUAAGGAUUGGAAACAAAAGCUUAAGGAGAACGGCGUACAGCUUCUGUCGAGUUACACAGGUAACAUCUCCGUGUUGACACAGUGCACUAGGUUUUAUUCUUUAUUAGUUCUUCCUCCCUUGUUCUUUAUUACCAAGUAUAUAUGGAGAUAAAUAUUCUAGUUAUAGACAAGAGUUAAGGUAUAAGUGUGUAUUUGGGGAAAUUUUGAAAUAAUGAACUGAUAAGAUUGAGAUGAAUUAACUCUUCUACCAAGAAAUAAAUGACAUCCACAAUACAUUAGGAAAAAAACUGUUAGAAAAACUAAGGUAUUUGGUCAUGAUCUCUUGUACGGGUGGUCUUAGGAUAUUUUUGAGGAAUUUGCUAAAGCACUAAACCUUGUUGAGAAAAAAUAUAUAUAUUUAUAUGAUGGACACAGAAGUAAAGAAUUUUAAUUGGUAUGAUUUUCCUUGUUAGGCAAUGUAAGAUGUUUUGAACCAGUUAAGGUUCUUUUGUCCCCUGCCCGUGAAAGAUUUUUCCUUAGCUCACUAAUUAUUCUAUUUAUCGGUAUCGUGAUCGUGACGGUUUCGAAAUUGAAUUGCCGGUCAUCUUGAACUUAUGAUUGGACCGAAAGUCAAAUUGAGGUGAGUUGAGGUUUACUUUCCUAGUAGGGAACUAGGAAUUUCAUUAGAACCCUUGUGCUCCAUAUGUUAGAUAAAGCUAAGUCAUGUCUUUUCAUGAUCCAAUACUUAGUUCACUUAUUCUUAUUCAGUACGACAUUACAUGUGACAUGAAUACACGCUUAUGUGUAUUACCAAUUGUUAGGUGCCUUUAUUUGUGAUAUUCACGUUUAGUUAAGUAUUCAGUUUCAACAUUAAUUCACUACAACAUUAUGCAUAUGCAGUUAUGAAAUACAUUGUAACUAAAUAUGAAAAUUUAUGUGGCUAAACACUUUAGCUACCAUAUUUUUUUCCGUAGCAUUCAUAGUAAGAUGUAGCGUAACUAAAAGUUAGCAACAAACUUUACAUGGUCUGUGGCUAAGAACUAAUACUUAUUGCUAUGAAAUUUUUCUGAGUUGUAGCUGUGAUAGUAAAAAGAAUUUGCCACAAAAAUAUACUUAUAGCAAGUGAUUUUAUUCCUUUGCCACGAACGGACAAAACUUAUAGCUAUCUUCAUAUUGUAGCCACAAGGUGUUGCAUCGUAGCAAGAGAUUGAAUUUGUUUGCCACACAAACUAAAAUUUUGUGGCUAUUUCUAUAGCCUGGUCUCGUGGCAAUAGUACUCGUAUUUAACUAUGAAAAAAAUAAUCUAUAGCUAUAAGUUGAAGUAUUUGCCAUAACCAUUUUUAUAUUGUAGCUAAGAAUCAAUACCUUUAGCUAUGAAAUAUAUAACAUUAUAGCUAAAAUUUUCAUUUGCUAUAAAAAGAGCAAAUGUAUAGCCAUAUCCUUUUAACAUGGCAAUUAUAUAUACAUUUAGCUGCGAAUUCAAAAACUCAUUGCUACAGACUUACUGACAAACACUUCUGACCUAAAAAGAAUGAAGAAAGUAACUCGUGAGUCAUGUAAAGCUCCCACAUAUCAUGUAAUAUAUCUUUUCUUUCAAAACCAACUUUAAUUGAAAAAAUUAUACUAAGCAACAAGGUUCAAACCACCGAAUAUGAAUUAAAUGAGCUAUUGAUAUAAAGUCAUAGUAUUGUAUAAUUGUAAAAUUUUACAUAUCGAUCUCAUAAAGGCAACAUAGAACAACAAUUAAUCUGAAGCAAGGAAGUGAUCGAAAAAAUGCUUUCAGAUUAGCAAAAGCGGAACUAGGUUCAGAAAAUCAAAGUAAACACACGCAUAUAGAAGUUUUCGAUUAACGAUGGUGCAGAAAACCACAAAUACGAUCUUAGAACACAUACCAAAUGGAAAGUAAUUGUCAUACCUAAUUUCAAACACCUAUUGUGCAAGGCAUAGGAUACUGACUUAAAUAUACAUAUUCACAUUAUAAACAAGUACAACCAACUAAUUGGGACAAGAAAUAAAAGGAAAGAUUCGACCUCAAUAGCACGAAACACAGCAAUGGAGUGCACAGCUGAAACUGCAGCAAGAUUUCCUAGAAGUGUGACAAUAAAGGUUGAGAAUUCAAACGCAUCCCAAAAUUACAGCAAUGGCAAAGGCAAAAUAAAUAAAUAAAAAUUAGAUGCUCGGAUUUGUAUUCUUGCUAAGGCAGAGAAAACCCAGCCACGCCCAUGGCUCCAAUUGGUUGCAUCGACAUCGCCGGUCGCCGAUCCAUGUUGCCAUGCCAAGAAACGAAUCCCAUGAUCUAAGAACAAGAAAAAGUGAUUAACUGUAAAUUAAGAUUAAAAUCUGUAAAAAUAAAUAAAAUAACAAAUUUUGGAAGAUUGAAAUUGGGGAUUGAGAGAGAGGAAGAAGAUGGAACCUUUGCUUCCAGAGUAAUACAAGACUUUGCUCGUUAGAUUUUGGCCUCUUUAGUGUUUUAGGGUUUUGGCUCUCUAAUCUUGCAUUAGUUUUUGCUCUCUUUUUUUUUUUUUGGUAAAUAAGUUUUCUAUUUAUGUGAAUACUCUGUACAAGUAUGUCAUCCUUCUAAAGUUGGACAUGCAACCCCAACUUUAG